GACGAACGCUGGCGGCGUGCUUAACACAUGCAAGUCGAACGAUGAAGCCGGAGCUUGCUCUGGUGAAUUAGUGGCGAACGGGUGAGUAACACGUGAGUAACCUGCCCUUGACUCUGGGAUAACUGCGGGAAACUGUAGCUAAUACCGGAUACGACCCUCGGAGGCAUCUCCUGGGGGUGGAAAGAAUUUCGGUCAAGGAUGGACUCGCGGCCUAUCAGCUAGUUGGUGAGGUAAAGGCUCACCAAGGCGACGACGGGUAGCCAGCCUGAGAGGGUAACCGGCCACAGUGGGGCUGAGACGCGGCCCAGACUCCUACGGGAGACAGGAGUGGGGAAUAUUGCGCAAUGGGCGCGGGCCUGGUGCAGCAACGCCGCGUGAGGGAUGACGGCCUUCGGGUUGUAAACCUCUUUUAGCAGGGAAGAAGCGAAGGUGACGGUACCUGCAGAAAAAGCACCGGCUAACUACGUGCCAGCCGCCGCCGUAA
rnacentral:rRNA from 1 species